UACGAAGGGGGCUAGCGUUGCUCGGAAUCACUGGGCGUAAAGGGUGCGUAGGCGGGUCUUUAAGUCAGGGGUGAAAUCCUGGAGCUCAACUCCAGAACUGCCUUUGAUACUGAAGAUCUUGAGUUCGGGAGAGGUGAGUGGAACUGCGAGUGUAGAGGUGAAAUUUGUAGAUAUUCGCAAGAACACCAGUGGCGAAGGCGGCUCACUGGCCCGAUACUGACGCUGAUGCACGAAAGCUAGGGGAGCAAACAGG
rnacentral:rRNA from 1 species